rnacentral:rRNA from 1 species
UACGGAGGGUGCAAACGUUGCUCGGAAUCAUUGGGCGUAAAGCGCACGUAGGCGGACCGCUAAGUCGGAUGUGAAAUCCCCAGGCUCAACCUGGGAACUGCAUCCGAUACUGGAUGGCUUGAAUCCGGGAGAGGGAUGCAGAAUUCCAGGUGUAGCGGUGAAAUGCGUAGAUAUCUGGAGGAAUACCGGUGGCGAAGGCGGCAUCCUGGACCGGCAUUGACGCUGAGGAGCGAAAGCCAGGGGAGCAAACGGG